rnacentral:rRNA from 1 species
UACGUAGGGUGCAAGCGUUAAUCGGAAUUACUGGGCGUAAAGGGCGCGUAGGCGGCCACCGCAAGUCGACUGUGAAAUCUCUGGGCUUAACCCAGAACGGUCAGCCGAUACUGCGGGGCUAGAGUGCAGAAGGGGCAACUGGAAUUCUCGGUGUAGCGGUGAAAUGCGUAGAUAUCGAGAGGAACACCUGCGGCGAAGGCGGGUUGCUGGGCUGACACUGACGCUGAGGCGCGAAAGCUAGGGGAGCGAACGGG